rnacentral:rRNA from 1 species
AACGAACGCUGGCGGCAUGCCUAACACAUGCAAGUCGAACGAGAUCCUUCGGGGUCUAGUGGCGCACGGGUGCGUAACGCGUGGGAAUCUGCCCGUAGGUUCGGAAUAACAGUUAGAAAUGACUGCUAAUACCGGAUGAUGACGUUAAGUCCAAAGAUUUUUCGCCUGAGGAUGAGCCCGCGUAGGAUUAGCUAGUUGGUGUGGUAAAGGCGCACCAAGGCGACGAUCCUUAGCUGGUCUGAGAGGAUGGUCAGCCACACUGGGACUGAGACACGGCCCAGAAUCCUGCGGGAGGCAGCAGUGGGGAAUAUAGGACAAUGGGCGCAAGCCUGAUCCAGCAAUGCCGCGUGAGUGAUGAAGGCCUUAGGGUUGUAAAGCUCUUUUACCCGAGAUGAUAAUGACAGUAUCGGGAGAAUAAGCCCCGGCUAACUCCGUG